rnacentral:rRNA from 1 species
UACGUAGGGGGCGAGCGUUGUCCGGAUUUAUUGGGCGUAAAGAGCGUGUAGGCGGCCAGGUAGGUCUGCUGUGAAACUCGAGGCUCAACCUCGAGACGUCGGCGGAAACCAUCUGGCUAGAGUCCGGAAGAGGAGAGUGGAAUUCCGUGGGAUGUAGCGGUGAAAUGCGUAGAGAUCCGGAGGAACACCGACGGCGUAGGCAGCGCCCUGGACGACACCUGACGCUGAGGCACGAAAGCUGGGGGAGCGAACAGG